rnacentral:rRNA from 1 species
GGCCAGACUCCUACGGGAGGCAGCAGUGAGGAAUAUUGGUCAAUGGCCGGAAGGCUGAACCAGCCAAGUCGCGUGAGGGAAGGCGGCCCUACGGGUUGUAAACCUCUUUUGUCGGGGAGCAAAGCGAGUCACGUGUGACUCAUUGAGAGUACCCGAAGAAAAAGCAUCGGCUAACUCCGAGCCAGCAGCCGCGGUAAUACGGAGGAUGCGAGCGUUAUCCGGAUUUAUUGGGUUUAAAGGGUGCGUAGGCGGGACGCCAAGUCAGCGGUCAAAUGCGGGGGCUCAACCUGCGUCCGCCGUUGAAACUGGCGUUCUUGAGUGGGCGAGAAGUACGCGGAAUGCGUGGUGUAGCGGUGAAAUGCAUAGAUAUCACGCAGAACCCCGAUUGCGAAGGCAGCGUACCGGCGCCCAACUGACGCUGAAGCACGAAAGCGUGGGUAUCGAACAGGAUUAGAUACCCUAGUAC